GAUGAACGCUGGCGGCGUGCCUAAUACAUGCAAGUCGAACGAGGUGCUUUUGUAGCAAUACGAGAGUAUCCUAGUGGCGAACGGGUGAGUAACGCGUUGGUGACCUACCCCAAAGUGUGGAAUAACAGUCCGAAAGGAUUGCUAAUACCGCAUGUGGUUAUCGGGCUUAGAAACUGAUAACUAAAGGAGCAAUUCGCUUUGGGAGGGACCUGCGUCCCAUCAGCUAGUUGGUGAGGUAACGGCUCACCAAGGCUACGACGGGUAGGGGACCUGAGAGGGUGACCCCCCCCAAUGGAACUGAAACACGGUCCAUACACCUACGGGUGGCAGCAGUAGGAAAUAUUGCACAAUGGGCGAAAGCCUGAUGCAGCAACGCCGCGUGUGCGAUGAAGGCCUUCGGGUUGUAAAGCACUUUUUUGAGAGAUGAGAAAGGACAGUAUUUCAGGAAUAAGUCUUGGCUAACUACGUG
rnacentral:rRNA from 1 species